rnacentral:rRNA from 1 species
AAACCUAGUGGCGGACUGGUGAGUAACGCGUGAGCAAUCUGCCGCAGAGAGUGGGAUAACACAUGGAAACGUGUGCUAAUACCGCAUAAUGUAUAACCGUGGCAUCACGGAUAUACCAAAGGGAGCAAUCCGCUCUGUGAUGAGCUCGCGUCUGAUUAGGUAGUUGGUGAGGUAACGGCCCACCAAGCCUACGAUCAGUAGCCGGACUGAGAGGUUGACCGGCCACAUUGGGACUGAGAUACGGCCCAGACUCC